rnacentral:pre_miRNA from 1 species
UCUUAUGGGUGUGCAAAGAAAGUGGUUUCCAGAGAUGGAAUCUACUCCUGAUGAAGAUGCUGUGAU